rnacentral:tRNA from 1 species
GGAUCUGUGGUGCAAUGGCAACACAUCUGACUCCAUAUCAGAAGGUUGCAUGCUCGAUUCACAUUGGGUUCA